UAUAAAAAUAAAUAAUUUUAAAAAAUAUAAAAUUAGAACAUAUUUAUGAAAAAUAGAUAUCGAGCUGACUGAUCAAUCUAAGUACCAAAAUAAUUUCAUAAUUAUUAAAAAAAAUUAAUUUAUAUUUCUUUCUAUUUGACAGGCAUAAAAAUUAAGCAAAAUCAUCCAAAAAUCAACCCAAAAUGACCUUCGGUGCACCAUGGAUCGAUCGCUUGGCCCACAGGCAGUCCACA
rnacentral:lncRNA from 1 species